AUUGAACGCUGGCGGCAGGCCUAACACAUGCAAGUCGAGCGGAUGAAGAGAGCUUGCUCUCUGAUUUAGCGGCGGACGGGUGAGUAAUGCCUAGGAAUCUGCCUGGUAGUGGGGGAUAACGUUCCGAAAGGAACGCUAAUACCGCAUACGUCCUACGGGAGAAAGCAGGGGACCUUCGGGCCUUGCGCUAUCAGAUGAGCCUAGGUCGGAUUAGCUAGUUGGUGAGGUAAUGGCUCACCAAGGCUACGAUCCGUAACUGGUCUGAGAGGAUGAGCAGACACACUUGAACUGAGACACGGUCCAGACUCCGACGGGAGGCAGCAGGGGGGAAGAUUGGACAGUGGGCGAAAGCCUGAUCCAGCCAUGCCGCGUGUGUGAAGAAGGUCUUCGGAUUGUAAAGCACUUUAAGUUGGGAGGAAGGGCAGUAAGUUAAUACCUUGCUGUUUUGACGUUACCGACAGAAUAAGCACCGGCUAACUUCGUGCCAGCCGCCGCCGUAAAAC
rnacentral:rRNA from 1 species